AGUGUCUACAAAGUACAGAUGUCUGAACCGUACCCAUAAGGGUUCUGAUUGAAUCAGUCUGGGAUGAGACCCACACACUGAUCAUUUUAAAGGCUCUCCAGGUGAUUCUGGGGCAUAGCCAGGAGGGCCACUGGGUUAGAUAAUCACUCAGGCCCCGUCCAGAGUUCACAUCCAAUCACUCUACCAACAAGUGUUGGAACUAAGAAGGCAGACAUGAUUGACCAGCUGAAGCAGGAGAUCUUGUUUUUGUUUCUGGUUUUUCGCUCCUGAUUCACUUGCGAUCUUGGUUUCUGUGGGUCAUGAGUUCAGACCCAGCCUGGCCAGGUGCUCCUGGCUUGAAGUCUCUCAGAUGGUUGCCGUCAGACGUCACCUGGACUGUGGUCACCUGGCAACUCACCUGGGACUGGAUGAUCUGAUUCCCAGGUGGCUUGCUCACCUGGCUGGCAAGGAUCUUGGUGGGAAGUUUCAGGUCCUCUCCGUGUGAGCCUCUUCACAGAGCUGGACACGGGUCUAUCCAGCCAGCGUGCAUGGUUAACUAGGAGCCACAGCAUUUUAGAAUUGAGAAGUGGUGCUCAAGUGUUCCAGACAAGAGCGAGAUAAAAUCCUGGCUUUCCACUCUGACUGCGUUGGGGGCUGACUGUGCUCUGUCCCUGCUUCCCUGUCAACCAAGCUUCCUGUCCUCUACAAAUUUGAUAAGCAUGCCUCCUGUGUCUUCAUUUCAACUCCUUGAUAACAAGUAUAACCCAGAUGUCAGCUGACGUCACCCUGUCCUUUGAGAUCUAAAUAAAAUUAGCUCAAGCCCCCUAUCACACAUCCUGUGGGAAGUCAGACGCCCUCCCAAAGAUCUUUUGGAAACUCCCAGGGCUUCGUCACUUGUGGUUCCACGUUCCUCCUCCUGCUGGCCUCUGGCUCACACACACCCCACGUCUGUGGCUGCUCUCUCCUCUC